CCUACGGGUGGCAGCAGUGGGGAAUCUUGCACAAUGGGGGAAACCCUGAUGCAGCGACGCCGCGUGAGUGAAGAAGUAAUUCGUUAUGUAAAGCUCUAUCAGCAGGGCAGAAAAUGACGGUACCUGAGUACUAAGCCCCGGCUAACUACGUGCCAGCAGCCGCGGUAAUACGUAGGGAGCAAGCGUUAUCCGGAUUUACUGGGUGUAAAGGUUUCGUAUGUGGUCAUGUAAGUUAGCGGUGAAAGAUCGAUGCUCAACAUCGAAACUGCCUGUGAUACUGUCUUACUAGAGUGUAGUUGCGGAAGGCGGAAUGUGUGGUGUAGCGGUGAAAUGCUUAGAUAGCACAAAGAACACCGAUUGCGAAGGCAGCUUUCCAAGCUAUUACUGACGCUGAGGCACGAAAGCGUGGGGAGCGAACAGGAUUAGAUACCCUUGUAGUC
rnacentral:rRNA from 1 species